CCCGCGGUGCAUUAGCUAGUUGGUAGGGUAAUGGCCUACCAAGGCAACGAUGCAUAGCCGACCUGAGAGGGUGAUCGGCCACACUGGGACUGAGACACGGCCCAGACUCCUACGGGAGGCAGCAGUAGGGAAUCUUCCGCAAUGGACGAAAGUCUGACGGAGCAACGCCGCGUGUAUGAAGAAGGUUUUCGGAUCGUAAAGUACUGUUGUUAGAGAAGAACAAGGAUAAGAGUAACUGCUUGUCCCUUGACGGUAUCUAACCAGAAAGCCACGGCUAACUACGUGCCAGCAGCCGCGGUAAUACGUAGGUGGCAAGCGUUGUCCGGAUUUAUUGGGCGUAAAGCGCGCGCAGGCGGUCUUUUAAGUCUGAUGUGAAAGCCCCCGGCUUAACCGGGGAGGGUCAUUGGAAACUGGAAGACUGGAGUGCAGAAGAGGAGAGUGGAAUUCCACGUGUAGCGGUGAAAUGCGUAGAUAUGUGGAGGAACACCAGUGGCGAAGGCGACUCUCUGGUCUGUAACUGACGCUGAGGCGCGAAAGCGUGGGGAGCAAACAGGAUU
rnacentral:rRNA from 1 species